rnacentral:lncRNA from 1 species
UUUUUUUUUUUUUUUGUCUUUUCUAGGGCCGCACCGGUGGCAUAUGGAGCUUCCCAGGGUAGGGGUCUAAUCAGAGCUACAGCUGCCAGCCUAUGCCACAGCCAUAGCAAUGCCAGAUCUGAGCCACAUCUUCGACCUACACCACAGCUCACGGCAACGCCGGAUCCUUAACCCCUUGAGCAAGGCCAGGGAUCAAACCUGAAACCUCAUGGUUCCUAGCCGGAUUGGUUAACCACUGAGCCAGUACAGGAACUUCUCACUAUACUCUUAAAGUAUGUGCCGCAUCUUGAAAGAUGGGAUGGUGGGGAGGAAGGGAAACAUUUUGAUCACUGUUUAGUAGAAACUCAAACCUGGCCCAAUAUCUUCUCCUUAAAAUAGGCCAGAUGUGAACUUUCAUUUGCAGUCAUUACAUCCCAAUUGAUUUCCACAACAUAAUCAAAAGUGGACAUGACAGCAUUAGUCUCAAAAGACCACGAGUCAACUGUCCUCCUAUCAGCCCUCAUACUCACAGGUUCAGAUCAGUACAGAAUUUCCCUUAAGAACUCUUUUUACACGUUCCCCAAACAAAAACUUUAGUAAAAGACUAAUUCAAUUAGAAUCCUUUAAAAACUGAUGAAGCUUAAGGAUAGGAGAAUACUUUUCACUUCAUUUAUUUUUAUAUAUCAUAUUUCUCUUUCUGUUUUAUACACACACACACACACACACACACACACACACACAUAUAUAUACUUGGUAUUUGAAUUGUAUACAUUUUUUAAAAAAUAUUUUUUGGAGUUCCUGUUGUGGCUCAGCAGGUGAAGUACCCAAUGUCGUCUCUGUGAGGAAGCAAGUUUGAUCCCUGGCCUCACUCAGGGAUUAAGGAUCCGGCAUUGCCACAAACUGCAGCAUAGUUGUCUGUGGCUGUGGUGUAGGCUACAGCCGCAGCUCUGAUUCGACCCCUGGCCUGGGAACUUCCAUAUGCUGCAAGUAUGGCCUUAAAAAUAAAUAAAUAAAAUAAAAUAAAAUAAAAAACUGUGACUACUAGAAAACUUUAAAUCACAUGGAUGACUUACAUCAUAUCUUCAUUAGACUGUGCUGCUCCAGAUUAUAAAUGGUUUAUCCUCUUAGCUCCCAGUCAGCAGAACCGAUCUGUCCCAUGUCCCCUUCUCUGGGUGGCCAUUCUCUAAUGCUAAAGCCCAACCAUACCAGGUGUUCCUGAGUAGACAGUGUGCCCCUGACAGUGACAUCUAGACUGAGCCUCUGAAGCCUCAGGGUGGUUGUAAGAAGUGUGUCCCCCCUUCUGCAGGAGGCAGGAAGGCAGGGAAGGGGAGGGACCCCGCCACCCCUCAAAUGGCACUAAUUCUACCUGCAUGGGAGCACUGACUUUCCAAUGGUCAUCUGGCUGGGAGGAUUUUCAUCUCCUGAAGUAUCAUGGUAGCUUGGGGAGGAGGGGGGAAGAGGAAGAGAACAAAGUCUUAAAUGUUCUUCAGCAUGACCCCUCGGUCAUCCCUCUCCUCUCUCUUUCAGGUUAGAAACAGAAAUUCAUAAAACCCAGGGACAAUACUGGCUUCCCCAUGGGACUCCUCAUUUUUUCCAGGAGCUGGGCUGAGUGCUUUGUGGGUAUCAUCUCAUCCCAUUUGCCCGACCACCCCAUGAAAUUUCUAGAAGAGGAAACUCAAGCUUAGGAGGGUUAAGUAAUGUGCCCGAGGUGACCACAGGAUUAGUCAAGGGGCCAAGUCACAGGAUUCAGGUCUGAUCGGCUCUGGACCCAUGUUCCUCCCCACCAAUUCACUUCUCCAGGCCUUGGUUUCCUCAUCUGUGGAAUGGGGACAUUAUCUGCCUGAAGGCGGGGUGGAAGGCUCCAUGGUCCCCAGGGACCCAUCCUCUCCUGGAAAGAGGUUCUGGGCUCUUGCAGAGCUGCCCAGUUCCCUCUCCAUCUCUAGCCACUCUCUGGAUGGGCUGCACCCCACAUCCUAGGCUGGCACACCUGUCCCUGACUGCUUGACCUUGGGGCUCUCUUGACCUUGAGGUUCCUCCUGCCUGGGUGCCCUCUAGUUCCUGUCUUGUGAGUUAAGUGCCUCUAGCUCCUUAUAUCAGGACUCCACCUCAACUUCACCUCCUCCAAAGCCCCAUCAAAACUGUCAAGCCAGAAAGCUGCUUCCCAGUCCACCUCCCAGGAGGUGAUGCUCUUCUCCACCCCUCCCCCAGGGCCGUGCACUCCCUUCCCAGCAAACUCACUCGCACCUGAAGCCUUGACACAGACAGGCUUAGCCAGCGCCUCACCUCCCACAGGAAGGAUUAUGUACAUUCAACACACUCAGCUAAAUAUUUCCUGAGCAUCCACGGCACACUUGGCUUCUUCUAUACUCUAUGGGUGUUCUACAGUCUGGGGCACAGCAGUGACGGUGACAAAGUCCCUGCCUGGGCUUCUGAAGGAGUCAAGAUUUCCCCCAAAACAGUGAUGCCCUAAACACACUAUGUGAACAUACUAGUUUAUGGAAUUCCCGUUGUGGCUCAGUGGUUAACGAACCCGACUAGCAUUCAUAAGGAUGUGAGUUCAGUCCCUGGCCUCGCUCAGUGAGUUAAGGAUCUGGUAUUGCUGUGAGCUGUGGUGUAGGUUGCAGACAUGGCUCAGAUCCCAUGUUGCUGUGGCUGUGGUGUAGGCCAGCAGCUACAGCUCUGAAUGGACCCCUAACCUGGGAACCCCCAUGUGCCGUUGUUGUGGCCCUAAAAAAAAAAGACCAAAAAAAAAAAUACUGGUUCACAUUUCUCAAGAUUCUCCUGCUGUUAUUUUUGGGUCAAGGAAUGAUUCAUAAAUGAUUAAUGAUUAAUAAAUGAUUCUAAAGAACAUGAUGGCAUUGGUAAGUGUGAUAGAACACUUGGUAAGGGACAGCUUGCUAUACCAUACACCAGUGGCUCUUAACACAGUGAUGGAGGCAGGUGUAUAGUGAGAAGUACCUUUCUAAGCCCAUCUGCAAAGCGUUGGGGUGGGAUAGGGGGGUGCUAUUUUCCUAAUUCAAACUGCAGAUGGUAAAGCUUACCGAAAUGUUCUUGGCCAAUGAGGAGACUUGGAAAAUACAUUUUCUUCUACAUAGCAAUGAUUUACGCUGGGAAUGUCCCAGACUCCCAAGAAAAAGAAACUUCUCUUCAUUAAAAGAUGAUCUGGGUAUUAAAAGUUUUAGAAAACAGUAUUUAAUCUUAUUACAUUUAUUUGUGCAUAUGUGUGCGUGUGUGUGUGUGUGUGUUUUAGUGGAUGUAUGAAAAAAGACUGGAAGGAAAUACAGCCAAAUUAGGGUGUUAUAAGCAGUUUUUGGUUUUAAUUUCAUACCUUUCCACAGUUUCCAAAUUUUCUCUCAUGACCCUUAUUGCUCCUCUAAGCAGAAAAUAAGCAGUAAACUGAAAUGCUAAUAGUUUUUUAAUUUCCUCAUGAAUCUGUUUUUACAGGCACCAUUUCAGUGGGGUCUGGAAAUCAGCAGGGUGUGAAACACAAAUGAAAUUCCCCGUUCACACGGGGCUGAGCGUACCCCUUGGCCCUGAAGAGAAGCUUUCCCUGCAUCCACGCUGGCAGCCAGCUGUCCACAGCUGCUCUGAGGAGGCUGCAAAUGAAUGGAGCUGGUGGAAAAACACAACAUUCCUGACUCUCCAAGGAUGGCAUUAUGCUUGGAGCUCUUGCUCACCAAAGAAGUAAAUAAAUACAGAGAGAGAGGGAGAGAAAGAGAGACAGAGAAGCAAGCUAGAGGAACUUUAUUCCAGGAGGUGGGUCAGCUCCUGGACCCAUAACACAACACCUGAAAGAAGACACCUGUGCCUAAGCCAACCAGCCUUGUCAAAUCAGGGCUAAAACACUGCUUGACCAUGGCCUACUGGGCUAUACCUCUUGCAUGCCACCUUCCCUUCCUGCCACACCUAAGGGUACAUAUGAACCAACUUUAUAUCCACCGCUAGGCUAAAGAGAUUCUGAGAGCACAGCCCCUGGCUGAUUCACCUUCAUCAACCCCUAGCACUGAAGGGCAUAUCCGUUCAUCCACUAUUUCCUCAGCCACUGCUGCAUGCCAGGCACUGAUGCUAAGGAUACAAUGGGAAGCAAAACAGACAAACUCCCUGCCUUCACGGACCUUCCAUUCUAGCAGGGGAGGCAGACAAUAGACUGGAGGAGAACCAAGAUUACAGCCCAGGCAGACUGGGGUGCUGUGAAUGUAUUGCUAGGUUGUUUCAGAUGAGAUCUAAUGACAAGGUGAAGCCAGCUGUGGGAAGAUUCUGCACACAUGUGAGCUUGGUGUGUUUCAGGAACAAAAAGGGGCCAGGUGGUUCGAGUACAGGGCGUAGACAGUGAUCAGAGAGGCAGGCAGAGGCCAGAUCCUGGAAACCCCAUGGGAGGGGAGCACAGGAGCAGCCCACUUGCCUUAUAAAACCUGCUGUGAGCCCCUGACAUGGUUCUGAGGGGUGGAUUAAUUCACUCCAAGGAGUUAAACAGAGAGACAAGCUCAGGGCUUUGCCUGCUUCCUCUGCCCCAAACCCUCAUUCCUCCCUCCACUGACCCAGCGAGAAAAGAUGCCCCAUCGAAGAAAGGAAGUUGUCAUCAGUGAACUGGUUGGUACUCUUUCUCUGAAGACAAAGGUGGGAUUGGGAAUUGGCGUGGAGAGUGGGAGGUGAGGGGGACCACCAGGGACUAGUCUGGGGAAGGGGAAGGGAGAGAGGGGAAGGGCUCUAACCUUCCCAGCCAGGACCUCACAGAAAUGCCAGAGUCCCUGAUCAGAGGGAGCCACACCUAAUUUGCCCCUUUCAGGAUCUCCUCCUGCAGAAAAAAAAAAAAAAAA